UAAACUAGGAUUAGAUACCCUUUAUAUUUUAUAUGUUAUUUUUUACUAGGGUAUUAAUAGUUAUGUUCUUUAAACCUAAAGAAUUUGGCGGUGUUUUAGUCUAUUUAGAGGAAUUUGUUUCUUUAUCGAUAAUCCCCGUUUUAUCUUACUUUAUUUUGUUAGGAGUAUGUAUACCGCCGUUAUAAGUUUAUUUUUAUAGGAUAUAAAUUUACUUAAUUCUUUACUGUGAUUUAUUUCAGGUCAAGGUGCAGUUAAUAAUAAAGUGUUAAUGAAUUACAAUAUUAUUUGAAUAUAAUGGAUUUAUAUUUUAAAACUUUAAUGAAGGUGGAUUUAAUUGUAAUUUUAUUUAUAAUGUUACUUUGAACUUAGCUCUAGAAUAAGUACACAUCG
rnacentral:rRNA from 1 species